CUGGUCUAUGAUUAUAAAGGUGCUGCAUUAGUCUAUAAAUCUAAGCAAGGGGAUAAGAGCCGAUUUCGUAGAAGGUGUUCCAAUUGGCUGUCAAAACAUACCAAGAAAACCCGUUCUGAUUUCAUAGAUUCGCUCACUCUCACAGGCCCGACUCGGCCAAUGACUGCUGACGGAGAGUGCUGGGUCAUUAAACUCGACGUGCCGGCUGAGUCAAGUUUUGGGGUCGAGGACCCUGAAUUGUGUGACAAACUUUUCAAAGCAACAUUGCCACUGAGUUCUGAUUACAUUGACAGGCCCCGAUGCAGCUUAUUGUCUAUCCGAGGUGGAGUUGUAAAUAUCUCGUCCAUUACAUUUAGCAACGCCCUUCGUUGCACUGUCAGGUUUAUUCUUGAUCGUCGUGUCGAUGUCAGUGCUAAACAGUUUUAUAUCCGAGGUGAACUUACAUUGUCAGUUGAAGACUAUGAUGUGAAGUUCACGCUUUUUAGAAGUCAAUUCCCAAAAGUCACUGCACGCAUUCUUAGUGAGACAAAGGUUGAAAUUCCAUUACUUAGGGAUGUCCUCUCCCUUCCUGUUGGAGCCCGGGUGCAUGUAGGGGGUAUUCUGAAAUUGAGAAGAGGGAAAGUGCUUGUUGAUGACCAUCUUAUCCUUGACAAGGAGACAGUAGAGGCUGAAUGGCCUGUGAUUCCAUUGAAUGGGGUUGCUUCUCCUAGUCACCUGAAGGCUUGCUUAUCGAUUGCAUUAUGUGACUACAUCUAGUCCACACAGCUCACAAGGUAUGAUGACGAGACUGUUAAGGUUAUUGGUAGCUGGGGUGAUGUGGUCAUUCUGUGUAAGAGAAGUGGUCAUCCGAGCGUUUGCUAAAAGGAGAGAAGUGGUGAUAUAUUUUCCUUUUGAACUUUGGAUAUAUAGCCUGACCCCAUAUCCUGUCGAAUGCGAUUUUGCCGUGGACUGUAAGCGGGGAUAACUCUAGUAGAUCAUGUGCCGCUCCAGAGAAAUUACUCACGACUGCUGCUAAAUAUGCUGGGAGCCUAUCAAUAUAUACGGUUUUUCUGUGCUUACGGUGUGGGGGAAUGUUGUAUUGUGUUGUGUGUGACCAAUGGAUGGGUAUCAUCAACGGAGAAGGGCUGUUCUCAUUUUUGUUUCUUAUCAUUUCGAUUGACAUGAUAUCUCAGAAUGUUGGGUAUCUCAGAAUGUUGUGAAGUCCCUUUGCGCUGGCCAUGAUGAGCGCAGAAAGUUAUUUCUCCUGCU